rnacentral:rRNA from 1 species
GACGUACCGUGCGAGCGUUGUUCGGAAUUACUGGGCUUAAAGGGCGCGUAGGCGGGUCAGCAAGUCCGGGGUGAAAUCUUUCGGCUCAACCGGAAAAGUGCCUCGGAUACUGCUGGUCUUGAGGGAGGUAGGGGUUUGUGGAACUUCUGGUGGAGCGGUGAAAUGCGUUGAUAUCAGAAGGAACACCGGUGGCGAAAGCGACGAACUGGACCUCUUCUGACGCUGAGGCGCGAAAGCUAGGGGAGCAAACGGG